rnacentral:rRNA from 1 species
GGCGGCGCGCCUAACACAUGCAAGUCGAACGGCACCCCUCUCCGGAGGGAAGCGAGUGGCGAACGGCUGAUUAACACGUGGAGAACCUGCCCCCUCCCCCGGGAUAGCCGCCCGAAAGGACGGGUAAUACCGGAUACCCCGGGGUGCCGCAUGGCACCCCGGCUAAAGCCCCGACGGGAGGGGGAUGGCUCCGCGGCCCAUCAGGUAGACGGCGGGGUGACGGCCCACCGUGCCGACAACGGGUAGCCGGGUUGAGAGACCGACCGGCCAGAUUGGGACUGAGACACGGCCCAGACUCCUACGGGAGGCAGCAGUGGGGAAUCUUGCGCAAUGGGGAGAACCCUGACGCAGCGACGCCGCGUGCGGGACGGAGGCCUUCGGGUCGUAAACCGCUUUCAGCAGGGAAGAGUCAAGACUGUACCUGCAGAAGAAGCCCCGGCUAACUACGUGCCAGCAGCCGCGGUAAUACGUAGGGGGCGAGCGUUAUCCGGAUUCAUUGGGCGUAAAGCGCGCGUAGGCGGCCCGGCAGGCCGGGGGUCGAAGCGGGGGGCUCAACCCCCCGAAGCCCCCGGAACCUCCGCGGCUUGGGUCCGGUAGGGGAGGGUGGAACACCCGGUGUAGCGGUGGAAUGCGCAGAUAUCGGGUGGAACACCGGUGGCGAAGGCGGCCCUCUGGGCCCGAGACCGACGCUGAGGCGCGAAAGCUGGGGGAGCGAACAGGAUUAGAUACCCUGGUAGUCCCAGCCGUAAACGAUGGACGCUAGGUGUGGGGGGACGAUCCCCCCGUGCCGCAGCCAACGCAUUAAGCGUCCCGCCUGGGGAGUACGGCCGCAAGGCUAAAACUCAAAGGAAUUGACGGGGGCCCGCACAAGCAGCGGAGCAUGUGGCUUAAUUCGAAGCAACGCGAAGAACCUUACCAGGGCUUGACGUAUGGGUGAAGCGGGGGAGACCCCGUGGCCGAGAGGAGCUCAUACAGGUGGUGCAUGGCUGUCGUCAGCUCGUGUCGUGAGAUGUUGGGUUAAGUCCCGCAACGAGCGCAACCCCCGCCGCGUGUUGCCAUCGGGUGAUGCCGGGAACCCACGCGGGACCGCCGCCGUCAAGGCGGAGGAGGGCGGGGACGACGUCAAGUCAUCAUGCCCCUUAUGCCCUGGGCUGCACACGUGCUACAAUGGCCGGUACAGAGGGAUGCCACCCCGCGAGGGGGAGCGGAUCCCGGAAAGCCGGCCCCAGUUCGGAUUGGGGGCUGCAACCCGCCCCCAUGAAGUCGGAGUUGCUAGUAAUCGCGGAUCAGCAUGCCGCGGUGAAUGCGUUCCCGGGCCGUGCACUCACCGCCCGUCA